AAAGUUAAUAGCUUUAUCGCAUUAAAAUUGUAAAAUUAUUAAUGAGGAAAGUCCGGACACUAAAGAGAAAUACAGCGGAUAACAUCCGUCCAUCGUAAGAUGAGGAAUAGUGCAACAGAAAGUAUGUAUAAAUAUUAUAUUUAAUAGUGAAAUCAUGUAAACUCUGUAUAGUGAAAUGUCAUAAUUACUAUUAAUUUUCUCGGUUUAAAAUAGUUGGUAGACAGAUAUUAGAUAUAUAUGGUAACAUAUAUACAAGAAAAAUGAUAAAGAAUAUAUUUUUUAAAAAAAAAUAUAUACAGAAUUCGGCUUAUAUAUUAACUUUUUUU
rnacentral:RNase_P_RNA from 1 species